UGCGUAGGGGGCAAGCGUUGUCCGGAUUUAUUGGGCGUAAAGAGCGUGUAGGCGGCUUGGUAGGUCCGCUGUGAAAACUCGAGGCUCAACCUCGAGAUGUCGGCGGAAACCACUUGGCUAGAGUCCGGAAGAGGAGAGUGGAAUUCCUGGUGUAGCGGUGAAAUGCGCAGAUAUCAGGAAGAACACCUAUGGCGAAGGCAGCUCUCUGGGACGGUACUGACGCUGAGACGCGAAAGCGUGGGGAGCGAACAGG
rnacentral:rRNA from 1 species